CUGGGCUGUGGGUCUCACUAUGUUUCCCAAACUGGUCUCAAACUUGUGGGCUCAAGCAGUCCUCCCACCUCAGCCUCCCAAAGUUCUCUUUGUAUAGUGGCAGUUUUCCGUCUGAAAGGAUUCUUCCUGUGUCUUCACCAAAGUAUGAGAUUAAUGGAAAUACACAAAACCCCAUUUCUGCACCACAAUUGAUGUUAGUCCAUCCUUGCAAACAAAUACCAAAACCGUGACCAGGCCACAAGUGUCUUCACAACCCCAUCUUCUCCAGGCAAGAAAGCCAAGAACUAAAAUAAGUGAAGUAUCUCUUUUCUACUUUUUUUAUUUUUUAGAGAGAGGUUCUUGCUCUGUGGCCCAGGCUGGAGUGCAGUGGCAUGGAUCACAGCUCACUGCAGCCUUGACCUCUUGGGCUCAAGCAAUCCUCCUGCCUCAGCCUACCAAGUAGCUGGGACUACAGGGACUUGCCACUGCACCUGGCUAAUUUUUUAGUUUUUAGUUUUUUGCUAUGUUGCCCAGGCUGGUCUCAAACUUGAGUUCAAGUAGUCCUCCUGUCUUGGCCU
rnacentral:lncRNA from 1 species